GAUGAACGCUAGCGGCAAGCUUAAUACAUGCAAGUCGUGGGGCAGCAGGGGUAGCAAUACCCGCUGGCGACCGGCAAACGGGUGCGGAACACGUACGCAACCUUCCUUUAACUGGAGAAUAGCCCCUCGAAAGAGGGAUUAAUACUCCGUAACAUAUACAUGUGGCAUCACAAGUAUAUUAUAGCUCCGGCGGUUAAAGAUGGGCGUGCGCCUGAUUAGAUAGUUGGCGGGGUAACGGCCCACCAAGUCUGCGAUCAGUAACUGGUGUGAGAGCACGACCAGUCACACGGGCACUGAGACACGGGCCCGACUCCUACGGGAGGCAGCAGUAAGGAAUAUUGGUCAAUGGACGCAAGUCUGAACCAGCCAUGCCGCGUGGA
rnacentral:rRNA from 1 species